CUCAGUCUCUUUGCCAUUCAUCCAUGCAGAUUUUGGGACUAUCAUGAAUACAUCUGCCUGGGACAUUUGCGUACAGGUCUUUGCGUGGAUCUAUCUUUUCAUUUCUCUAAAUACCUGAGUGGAAUUGUUGGAUCAUAUGAAUGCCCACUCUGGGAGAAGCCAGUUGCCAUGACAUCCAACUAUGCCAAGACCAUAUGCUAUGAGAAAGUCCAAAGAAGCCAUAUAGAGGAGCUGCAUGGAGAAAAAGAGAGAGAGAGAGCUGACCAGCCACGAUCUGUUCCAGCCAUUCCAGCCCAGACGCCAGCCAUAUGAGUGAAAGAAGCCAUCUUGAAUGUCCAGUCCAGCCAAGCUUUCAGAGGACUCCAGCCCCAACCACCCUCUGAUUACAAUUCUACAAGGGUCUGAAAGGUAGAACUACCCAUCAGAAUCAACCCCAAGAACCAUGAGGGACAAUAAAUGGUUGUUUUAAGUCCCUGAGUUUUGGAGUGGUUUGUUAUG
rnacentral:lncRNA from 1 species